rnacentral:misc_RNA from 1 species
GAUGAAGAACGCAGCGAAAUGCGAUAAGUGAUGUGAAUUGCAGAAUUCAGUGAAUCAUCGAAUCUUUGAACGCACAUUGCGCCCCUUGGUAUUCCGAGGGGCAUGCCUGUUCGAGCGUCAUUAUAACCCCUCAAGCUCAGCUUGGUGUUGGGGCCUGCUGCACUGGCAGCCCUUAAAAUCAGUGGCGGCGCCAUCUGGCUCUAAGCGUAGUAAUUCUUCUCGCUAUGGAGUCCUGGUGGAUGCUUGCCAUCAACCCCCAAUUUUUCUAUGGUUGACCUCGGAUCAGGUAGGGAUACCCGCUGAACUUAAGCAUAUCAAUAAGCGGAGGA